GUACACGCUGUGACUAGCAUAUCAAUAAGCGGAGGAAAAGAAACUAACAAGGAUUCCCUCAGUAACGGCGAGUGAAGCGGGAAGAGCUCAAAUUUGAAAUCUUGAAAGGUCACCUUUCACGAAUUGUAGUUUAAAGAAGUGUUUUCUGUUACGAUCGUAAUAUAAGUUCUUUGGAAUAGGACAUCACAGAGGGUGAGAAUCCCGUCUAUGAUUGCGAUUUGUAGCUUUGUGAUACACUUUCAAAGAGUCGGGUUGUUUGGGAAUGCAGCCCAAAACGGGAGGUAAAUUUCUUCUAAGGCUAAAUAUUGGCGAGAGACCGAUAGCGAACAAGUACCGUGAGGGAAAGAUGAAAAGAACUUUGAAAAGAGAGUUAAAUAGUACGUGAAAUUGUCAAAAGGGAAGCGUUUGACACCAGUGUUGUUUUCUCGAAAAUCAAUUAAAAAUGGCUCGAUUUUGUAUUGCUUGAGACCUUAAAAGCUCACUGUACAUUUUUCGUGUCUUUUUUAAUGCACUUUUCGUUUAACAAGUCAACAUCAGUUUCUUUUGUUGUAAAAGGGUCAUUGGAAGGUGGCUUUCUUUUCGGAGAAAGUGUUUAUAGCCUUUGGCCUCUGCAAUCGAAGAGACUGAGGUCUGCAGCGUAGACUCUUCGGGUUAGAUACAUUUGUAGCUAAGUUAUAGCUUUUUAUAGACAACUUGUUGACUAUAAUUAGUCUUGUAGCUUACUCGCUUAUGCUAUUUUACCUACGCUUAGGAUGUUGAGUAGCGACAUACGCAC
rnacentral:rRNA from 1 species